AACAUGCAUUGAACAUUCCCCGUUCUCAGCCCGUGCUCCCUCCCCCAGCCUCAGCCCCUCCAGAUCCCGGAGCCCAGUGCCAGCAGAAGGUUGUCUGGGAUGAACUAAAUGGAGCAACUUGACAUCAAUAUUGUUACAGAGCGUGUUAACAAAGGCUCAGCCACAGCAUGAAGACCAGGAAAGAGUGGCACAUGGCAGCACUUACCCACACGGUCCUGGAGAAAUGCUGACCGUUGGACAGUUUAAGACUCUUGGAGACUUUUAUUUAGCUGGACAUGGAUUGUUCUGUCCUAGGAGCUGUUCCCUGCCCCCACCCCACGUGCUCCUCCUCGUCUGGACCACAAUCUCUCUCCCUUUCUCUGGUGACACUGCAGAACACCUCUGAGCUACAGUGCAAUAGCACAGAUCUUGUUCCAUGGAGUUUAAACUCUACAAGGAGAUCAUCAGAGGACAGAGCAGCUGAAUGACUAAAGUCUAACUCGGUGGAGAUAUGAAAUUUGGCACUUUUCCCCUUCUGGUUAGCAGCCCCCAAAGCCAUUCUAACUGCAGUAACAUGAAUGACACCCUACUUCUCAAGCUUACGAAGCCUUCCUCGAACGCCACCACCAGGCCAGCAUUGUGUGCAGACCCGCAGGCUGCUGGGCGAUCAACCUGAUGAUGCCUUAGAGAGCACCAGACAUGAGAAUGAUCUUAAUUUCAGGCAUCCCAAGUUCCCUGCAAACAUGGAUUUGGUGACCCAAAGCCCAGCUGGCGUGAGAGGGGGUGCUCCUGAGAAGUGCUGCUCUGAGCCAGGCAUUCCUGCAACAGUCAACCUGGCUUGGGGAAAAGGCUGGAAGGGCAUUUAGGCCUCAAGAAGUCAGCAUCAGGGACUUCCUUGGCGGUCCAGUGGUUAAGAAUCUGCCUCCAGUGUAGGGAAUGUGAAUUCGAUCCCUGGUCAGGGAAUUAAAACCCCUCAUGCAAUGGGGCAACUAAGCCAGCGCACCACAACUACUGAGCAUGUGCACUCUGGAGCCCGUGUGCCGCAAUGAAGAGCCUUCAUGCUGCACGGAAAAAUCCCACAUGCAGCAGGGAAGGGUCCGCAUGCUGCCACUAAGACCCACAC
ensembl:lncRNA